AACGAACGCUGGCGGCAGGCUUAACACAUGCAAGUCGAGCGCCCCGCAAGGGGAGCGGCAGACGGGUGAGUAACACGUGGGAAUCUACCCAUCUCUACGGAAUAACGCAUGGAAACGUGUGCUAAUACCGUAUACGUCCUUCGGGAGAAAGAUUUAUCGGAGAUGGAUGAGCCCGCGUUGGAUUAGCUAGUUGGUGGGGUAAAGGCCUACCAAGGCGACGAUCCAUAGCUGGUCUGAGAGGAUGAUCAGCCACACUGGGACUGAGACACGGCCCAGACUCCUACGGGAGGCAGCAGUGGGGAAUAUUGGACAAUGGGCGCAAGCCUGAUCCAGCCAUGCCGCGUGAGUGAUGAAGGCCCUAGGGUUGUAAAGCUCUUUCACCGGUGAAGAUAAUGACGGUAACCGGAGAAGAAGCCCCGGCCAACUUCGUGCCAGCCGCCGCGGUAAAAC
rnacentral:rRNA from 1 species